GGAUUGUGGCUCAGCGGUAGAGCACUUGCCUAGCAUGUGCAGGGACCUGGGUUCAAUCCUCAGCACCA
rnacentral:tRNA from 1 species